CAAAAAUGCCAUGUUGGAAUUAUUCCCGGACCUGUGUUGCUCAAGGGCUCUGUAGCGCCACCUAAGGAGUCAAAGAAAGACUGGUGGCCACAGAGCAGGAGCUGAAGCUCAUGAGAGACGUGCCUAAGGUGGC